GAUGAACGCUGGCGGCGUGCCUAAUACAUGCAAGUCGAGCGAACAGACGAGGAGCUUGCUCCUCUGACGUUAGCGGCGGACGGGUGAGUAACACGUGGAUAACCUACCUAUAAGACGGGGAUAACUUCGGGAAACCGGAGCUAAUACCGGAUAAUAUAUUGAACCGCAUGGUUCAAUAGAGAAAGACGGUUUUGCUGUCUCGUAUAGAGGGAUCCGGGCCGCAUUAGCUAGUUGGUAAGGUAACGGCUUACGACGGCAACGAUGCGUGGCCGAGGUGAGAGGGGGAUCGGCGACAUUGGAACUGAGACACGGUCCAGACUCCUACGGGAGGGAGCAGUAGGGAACCUGCCGCAACGGGCGGAAGCCUGACGGAGCAACGCCGCGUGAGUGAUGAAGGCCUUCGGAUCGUAAAACUCGGUUAUGAGGGAAGAACAAAUGUGUAAGUAAAUAUGCACGUCUUGACGGUACUUAAUCAGAAAGCCACGGCUAACUACGUG
rnacentral:rRNA from 1 species